GACGAACGCUGGCGGCGUGCUUAACACAUGCAAGUCGAACGCUGAAGCUCAGCUUUUGUUGGGUGGAUGAGUGGCGAACGGGUGAGUAACACGUGAGUAACCUGCCCCCUUCUUUGGGAUAACGCCCGGAAACGGGUGCUAAUACUGGAUAUUCACUGGUCUUCGCAUGGGGGUUGGUGGAAAGGGUUUUUCUGGUGGGGGAUGGGCUCGCGGCCUAUCAGCUUGUUGGUGGGGUGAUGGCCUACCAAGGCUUUGACGGGUAGCCGGCCUGAGAGGGUGACCGGUCACAUCGGGACUAAGAUACGGCCCAGACUCCUACGGGAGGCAGAAGUGGGGAAUAUUGCACAAUGGGCGCAAGCCUGAUGCAGCGACGCCGCGUGAGGGAUGGAGGCCUUCGGGUUGUGAACCUCUUUCGCUCAUGGUCAAGCCGCAACAAUGGUUGUGGUGAGGGUAGUGGGUAAAGAAGCGCCGGCUAACUACGUG
rnacentral:rRNA from 1 species